UUGCAGAUGAGCACAUCACAACAUGAACAGACAUCUGAGCGAGUGAUGUAUGUGUGCUAUUAUAGUACUCACGGUCAACACUGCUUUAGAUGAAUGAACAGAUGAGACACACGUGUGUUUAUCUGCUGCAGAGUGACUGAUGAAGGACUGAUGAAUGCUUUAAAGCUUUUGUGGAGGAGCAGGACCUGC